UAGAGUUUGAUCCUGGCUCAGCUUGAACGCUGGCGGCAUGCCUUACACAUGCAAGUCGAACGGCAGCACGGGUGCUUGCACCUGGUGGCGAGUGGCGAACGGGUGAGUAAUACAUCGGAACAUGUCCANNNNNNGGGGAUAGCCCGGCGAAAGCCGGAUUAAUACCGCAUACGAUCUGUGGAUGAAAGCGGGGGAUCGCAAGACCUCGCGCUAUUGGGGUGGCCGAUGGCGGAUUAGCUAGUUGGUGGGGUAAAGGCCUACCAAGGCGACGAUCCGUAGCUGGUCUGAGAGGACGACCAGCCACACUGGGACUGAGACACGGCCCAGACUCCUACGGGAGGCAGCAGUGGGGAAUUUUGGACAAUGGGCGCAAGCCUGAUCCAGCAAUGCCGCGUGUGUGAAGAAGGCCUUCGGGUUGUAAAGCACUUUUGUCCGGAAAGAAAUCCUUUUCGAUAAUACCGAAGGGGGAUGACGGUACCGGAAGAAUAAGCACCGGCUAACUACGUGCCAGCAGCCGCGGUAAUACGUAGGGUGCGAGCGUUAAUCGGAAUUACUGGGCGUAAAGCGUGCGCAGGCGGUGAUGCAAGACCGAUGUGAAAUCCCCGGGCUUAACCUGGGAACUGCAUUGGUGACUGCAUCGCUAGAGUAUGGCAGAGGGGGGUAGAAUUCCACGUGUAGCAGUGAA
rnacentral:rRNA from 1 species